rnacentral:lncRNA from 1 species
GCCCUUCUCAGCAAUUCAUUGACAUGUGGGGUGGGGGUAGAAGGAGCAAUAAGGUCACCAACAGUUUUGCUGUCUUUUUUUUUUUUUUCUGGAGAAAAGAAUUGAUGUUGAAAAAUAAAAAGAAGCUCAUAAGAGAAAAUGCUGGUGGAUUUUCUGAUGUGUCUGGAGCCUCUCAGAAAGCAAUAAAAUUUCUGAAUGGGGCAAUGUGGAGAAAUCCUAAGAGAAAUAGCAUAAGAGCAUUUUGGAAUAUAUCCCGGAAAAGAUAACUUUCUACACAUCUGGUAGAGAUUCGCCAGGAAAAGAACCCUAAAUUUUGUGAGAUCCCUUGAAGGAUUGUGAAAAUUCCAUUUUAUGUGGCUGAGUGCUCAUAUCAAGUCCAAGCAAUGGAAAUUCUCCAGUUCAAAUCCAAUGGAUAUUAAGGAAGGAACUACAGUUGCUGACUUGAGUUGAAGAAGCAUCUGCUUAAUGUCCGGUCAAAGCUUACAAGCAGUAAUACAGAAACCUAUGGUUAAAAAGCCGGCACUUCAGUCUCCUGCAAAGGGUGAAACACAGGACGAGAAGAAUCUGCAGGGAGGUUGGUGGCUUGUGUUUGAAAAUAUCAGAACCCCUAUACAUACAG